UGAGAAUGAGUCUGAUGGGGUCCCAAGGUCGAAACUUCCUUCUCUAUUAAACAAAUAAAACUCUCUGUUAUACUCUACACUUCCUAUAAAAUCAAACUACACAAGUGUGAUCAUCAAGCUUACCUUGUCUGGAUGAGUUUCCCCUUGCAGAUGAACCACAUUUUACAGCUAUGAGGUGCAUGUUGAAGCACAUACUCUGCUUUUCUAGAUGUGAUACCCAUCCGCCUGCAUCAUCAAAGAGAGGUUAGCGUACUUGCUUUAUCCACUGAUCUUUCUAGUUUUCAUUACAUGGACUGAUUCAUUAGAAGAAUCUUUAAACUUUUAGUUAUUGAUUGAUUUUUGGAUCUAUCCUUGCCUGGAGUAGUGAGGAUCAGCUGCUGCUCCCAUAACGAGCUUCUUGAUGCUGUUUUCGUAGAUGAGUUCCACAAUACCUUCACCCACACCAUAUCCUGAGAUCAAUGAU
rnacentral:lncRNA from 1 species